GAUUAACGCUGGCGGCGUGCAUAACACACGCAAGUCGAACGAUGAAACUUAAAUGAUUUCUUCGGAAUGAACUUAAGUGGAUUAGUGGCGGACGGGUGAGUAACGCGUGAGUAACCUGCCUUACACAAGGGGAUAGCCGUUGGAAACGACGAAUAAUACCCUAUGAUGUUUCUAUCUCGCAUGAGAUAUUAACCAAAGUGUUAGCGGUGUAAGAUGGACUUGCGUCUGAUUAGCUAGUUGGUGAGAAAAAAGCCCACCAAGGCAACGAUCAGUAGCCGGCUUGAGAGAGUGUACGGCCACAUUGGGACUGAGACACGGCCCAGACUCCUACGGGAGGCAGCAGUGGGGAAUUUUGCACAAUGGGGGAAACCCUGAUGCAGCGACGCCGCGUGAUUUAGAAGGCCUUCGGGUUGUAAAAAUCUUUUGUAUAGGAAGAAAAUGACAGUACUAUACGAAUAAGGUCCGGCUAAUUACGUG
rnacentral:rRNA from 1 species